rnacentral:misc_RNA from 1 species
GAUGAAGAACGCAGCGAAAUGCGAUAAGUAAUGUGAAUUGCAGAAUUCAGUGAAUCAUCGAAUCUUUGAACGCACAUUGCGCCCCUUGGUAUUCCGGGGGGCAUGCCUGUUCGAGCGUCAUUUCAACCAUCAAGCCCCCGGCUUGUGUUGGGGACCUGCGGCUGCCGCAGGCCCUGAAAACCAGUGGCGGGCUCGCUAGUCACUCCGAGCGUAGUAAUACAUCUCGCUCAGGGCGUGCUGCGGGUUCCGGCCGUUAAAAGCCUUAUUUACCCAAGGUUGACCUCGGAUCAGGUAGGAAGACCCGCUGAACUUAAGCAUAUCAAUAAGCGGAGGA